rnacentral:rRNA from 2 species
CUCGCGAGAGCAAGCGGACCUCAUAAAGUGCGUCGUAGUCCGGAUUGGAGUCUGCAACUCGACUCCAUGAAGUCGGAAUCGCUAGUAAUCGUGGAUCAGAAUGCCACGGUGAAUACGUUCCCGGGCCUUGUACACACCGCCCGUCACACCAUGGGAGUGGGUUGCAAAAGAAGUAGGUAGCUUAACCUUCGGGAGGGCGCUUACCACUUUGUGAUUCAUGACUGGGGUGAAGUCGUAACAAGGUAACCGUAGGGGAACCUGCGGUUGGAUCACCUCCUUA